AGGUGAUGGCGAUCUGGAGCACAGAGGGAAGCGCCACAGGCCAGGGCAGAACAGAGCCCACACCAAAGAAAACGUACAGCCCCGUGGCCAGGAACUCAGCAAAAAGCGCCUUGCUGAUGGCGGUCCAAAGCCCGCCAACCAGAAGCCCCAACCAGCAUUUUCCUGGACCCAGACGUUCCUGACUCUAGUGCCAAGCUUAGAGCUCAGAAGCCUUUUGUCCCAGCCCCACACCUGGCUGCUCCGAUGGAUGUCCCCUCCGAUGGAUGGAGCCUUCUCAGCCCUAGGGAGCGCCUUGUCUGUCCAGCCCUGAUGGAAACUGGCAGCUUCGGAGGGAGGCAUAGAUUGCGGAGGAGGGACUGCCUUCAAAUGGAGAAUUUACCCCAUGGAGCUGCCUCAGGGCUGCCCCAGCCCCCACAAUGACCACCAGCACCAGUUCCUGCAGAGGAGGCUGUGUCCAGUGACCUUCUCUUUGACUAAAAGGCUGGCCAAGGAAGGGGCAAUGCCUUACCCCAAACUGUGAGGAAAUGUGGGCGCUGCCUUUCCGCGGACUGGAUGGUCUUUCUUCUGGAAGAGGAUGGAAAACAACUGGCUGGCCUGGGACAAAUUUCCAAGGCAAAAGGUCUUGGGCUUGCUUUCUUGCAGUUAAUCACCCAUAAGUCAUUAUGUUCCACCUUCACCCAGGAAUCUCAGCCAGAGAGGAACUCCCAUUGCCUGGAGCCAAAGGUGGCUUCAGUGGCCCUGGGACCCUAGCCCUGCGUGAUAGAGUCACCAAGGUCAACUUAGGAACAUGAGGGUUUCUGUUCUGCAGCACACACUCAUGUCGUUGAGAUGUGACAGUUCUGCUCUGCCUGUGUACAUGAGAUAAUAAAACUAUCUCAUAGGACAGAGAUUUGCAUUAAUAUGGCUCCUGGUUCUCAGGAAGAACUCAGGUUUUGUCAGCUAUUGCUCAGUGCUAUUUGCAUUUUGAGGCAAACAGGUCUCCCCCAAACUCAGAGUCUCCAAGGCUACAACAGGCUCUAGAUACCAUCUCGAGCUCAGAGCCACCCUUACCACAGGAGGAAGAUGUUUCUGGAGUUGCAGCUAGCUCUCCAGGCUCAAGGAGGCCAUGGUGCCUGCUAGUAACCUCUAGUCUUGGUGCCACUAAGCUUGGUCAGUGUUCUGCAAGGCCACUGCUGUCACAGCUCUGAUGGCUGUUGAGGCUCAGAAGACGGACCUACCCUACGCCUCUUCUUUCUUUGGGGAUCCAAAGGCAGGAGGGCCUACAGUGCAUCCAGAUGGCGGGCUUCUAGUCCUCCUGGCCAGCCACAAUCCAAGGAACAGGAAUGUGGGAGAAACCGAUGAUCGUAGGAUAGAGAUACUUACACUAAGGGGUGACUGAAGCCAAGGGAGGGCCUGUUACUCACCCAAGGUGCCCCAGAAGAGUGGUGGCUGAGCUCAGGCUAGAACCUAGAGAGGAGUGCUUUCCUGACACCCUCACUCCCCAGGCAUGCUCUGAGCCCUGGUCUCCUCGCCCAGACAGCAAUGGCAGUGAUGUCCCUCCCAUACAUUUGUUUUCAGAAUGUAGUAAGAUGCACAAAAAUCCCCCACAUACACAACACGGGUCCAUGCACAUUUACCCCGACCCCCACAUGACUAGCAACUCUUGCCAUUAGGGGGAAAGACAAGAAUGAGGAGGAAGAAACAAUACAUGACCCCAACAGAGGCCAGCUCAGAGGAGCCUCUGGGGAUGUGGGCUCAGGUAGUACUCCCUGUUCAGGGUCCUCCUCCCCACUUCCAUCCCCCACCCCUGCAAUCCACGCUCUCCAGAAAGACUCAGAGGGAGGGUGGAAGAAUCUUGCCUUGAGAAGGGUACCUGUGACUCUGUUUUCUUCUUCAACCAUAGCACACCCAGAAAGGGUGGAGGGUAUCAAGAUUGGGCCUUGAUGAUACAUACUAUCUUGUAUGUACUGUCUACCAUACCCAGGGAAUGUAUCAUGUUUUAUCUUGAUGAUACAUACUAUCUUGUAUGUAGUAUCUUCCACCCUCCAUGUGCCCAGUCCCUGCCUGGCUCAGGGGCACCUGGAAAACCCCCAGGCCAUAUUGAGCUGAACUGUGACAGUGGUUCCAAACCCACCGUUGACUAUCGAGUUCCUGAGUGACCUUUGGUGAGCCACACACCCUUUCUGAUCUAUACACUGUGUAUGAUCAUGAGAACAGCAGUCACUGGUUCUGACCCUAAACAGCACCGCCUCUAACCAACCUGGCGUCAUGGUAGACCCAUAAUAGGUGUCGCUGCUUCUGUACAGCCCAGGAAACCACACACCAAUUUGUGUGGUUUUGCCAUACAUCCACAUUUCCACGGUGCGGGAGGUGUGGUUCUGUGGAAGAGCACUUGCCCAGGACAUGGUAGUAAAUCCUGGGUUCCAUUCCCAGUGCCGAAAACAGCAGCAGCAGCAGCAGCAGCAGCAGCAGCAGCAGCAGCAGCAGCAGCA